rnacentral:lncRNA from 1 species
ACUCUAUACUUCAACUGUACUGAAUUUCAGUUCUUCAAAAAUGCCAUGUUCUUUCUUGCAUUCAUGUUAAUUAUCUCUCCCUGGACAAAGUUUCCAUGUUAAGCACAAAGAACAAUACCUGCGUGUGGAAUGGAAAUCAACAUAAAUUUUUUUAAAAACACUCAACCAGGCCAGGCACGGCUCACGCCUGUAAUCCCAGCACUUUGGGAGGCCGAGGCGGGUGGAUCACGAGGUCAGGAGAUGAAGACCAUCCUGGCUAACAUGGUGAAACCCCGUCUCUAUUAAAAAUACAAAAAAUUAGCCGGGCGUGGUGGCCGGCGCCUGUAGUCCCAGCUACUCGGGAGGCUGAGGCAGGAGAAUGGCAUGAACUCGGGAGGCGGAACUUGCAGUGAGCCGAGAUCGCGCUCCUGCACUCCAGCCUGGGCGACAGAGUGAGACUCAGUCUCGAAAAAAAAAAAACCCACCAAAAGUUCUUUUGUAAAAAGAGAAAACCUUGAAGUAAAAAUGAUAGAAAUGCCUUUCCAUUAAAGCAGAUAUAUAGAAAGUCCUUAAGGUACAUGUUAGCUUGGCAUACCAGGCACGGACUCUCCACAGCAAUGAGCACAGGCUAUCCAAUGAAAUAGAAAAUUUAUGGGUGAGAUAACUACAAAAAAUUUAUUAGUACAGAUUCCAGCAUUGCAUCCACCAGACCAGAUGAAUUCAGUUCUGAGCAAUGUCUGUAAUCACACAGAGCUGUUCCCUGAAUGGCAAUAACCCAAGCUACUUUCUAGUGGGUCUCUUUAUUUAUUGCAAUGUCAAUCUUGUCAUAGAUCCUACUACUUUGUCUCUGGGUACAACCACAAGAGACAUUUCGCUUAUAAGAACAAGCCCACUUCCCUUAAUAAUGGCUGGUUAUGUCACCACAGAAACAGCUUUACCUCCAAGAGAAUCUGGUAAAAUGGGCAUUAUGGGAAAAGCUGCUUUUCUCCACCGUAACGACAGGUGAGGGUGUGGCACACAAGUUAUUUUCAGGACCUCAUGCUAUUGUAUUCUUGGAAAAGUUAAGUGGACAGCCAAAUGUUAUGCUUUACCAGAAAGGAGCUAGGAGUUCAAACUUCAUAGAAAAAUUAAAAUCCAUUGGGAAGAAACCUUGACAUUAAUGAAAAACAUAUAUAAUAUUAUAGUCAUCGAUCCUCAUAAACACAAUGGCCCCAUUUGAUAGAUUUUUACUUCUCUCAUUUUGGAUCUCCACUGAACUCUAAGUCACAUUCAAUCAUUGAAAUGGCUUAAUAAUCAGUGGCUUAAAACUUGGGGUAUUUAUUAUAGAAGUGACCAGUAUAUAAUGACCAAUCAUUACCAUAUGAAAUUACAAUCCUUUUCAGUAUCAUGCAAUGUUUCAAGAAAAUAUUCUAAAGAUAUGUUCUCUUGCAUAAAUAUUCCUAUUACAAAUGUGUGUCAAAGACCACUAUAAAACUAAAAUUCACUUCUUUCUCAUACAUGUUCAUCUGUCAGUGUUUAAAAU